rnacentral:miRNA from 1 species
AUCAAACCGGGGGGGAUUUCAGU